AUUAACUUUAAUUAACACAACGUAACUGAAAACAUCAUGAAAUGACUGCUCAUUCAUUUUAUUAUGUUUUUAGUGUUUAAAGCUCUAUAGAGUUUUAACAUUCUCCUUAACCGAAACUGUGAAAACAGCUUCGUUGUUAUACGCAAUGAUCACCCCAAUCGUUGCGUAUUUUUUUGUUUGUACAAUUA
rnacentral:sRNA from 1 species